rnacentral:misc_RNA from 1 species
GAACGCACAUUGCGCCCGGCAGUAAUCUGCCGGGCAUGCCUGUCCGAGCGUCAUUUCUGCCCUCGAGCCUGUCCAGCAUCUAGGUGCUGUUCAGGUCCGGCGUUGGGGCACUACGGGAAGCCUCGUGCUAUCCCCCGUAGGCCCCGAAAUGAAGUGGCGGUCCUGCCGCGGCUCCCCCUGCGUAGUAUUACAGCUCGCUUCGGGACCCGGUGGAGGCCUGCCGUCAAACCUUACUCUCUAAGUUUGACCUCGGAUCAGGUAGGGUUACCCGCUGAACUUAAGC